rnacentral:rRNA from 1 species
UACGAAGGGUGCAAGCGUUACUCGGAAUUACUGGGCGUAAAGCGUGCGUAGGUGGUUCGUUAAGUCUGAUGUGAAAGCCCUGGGCUCAACCUGGGAAUGGCAUUGGAUACUGGCGGGCUAGAGUGCGGUAGAGGGCAGUGGAAUUCCCGGUGUAGCAGUGAAAUGCGUAGAGAUCGGGAGGAACAUCUGUGGCGAAGGCGGGUCUCUGGGCCGGAUAUUGGACGCUGGAGGAGCGAAAGCGUGGGGAGCGAACAGGA